rnacentral:tRNA from 1 species
UCAAAAUGCAAGUUUGAAGAAGCACCCCAAAAGGUGCCGGGGCUUCUCCCGUU